CCUACGGGAGGCAGCAGUCGAGAAUCAUUCACAAUGGGGGAAACCCUGAUGGUGCGACGCCGCGUGGGGGAAUGAAGGUCUUCGGAUUGUAAACCCCUGUCAUGUGGGAGCAAAUUAAAAAGAUAGUACCACAAGAGGAAGAGACGGCUAACUCUGUUCCAGCAGCCGCGGUAAUACAGAGGUCUCAAGCGUUGUUCGGAAUCACUGGGCGUAAAGCGUGCGUAGGCUGUUUCGUAAGUCGUGUGUGAAAGGCGCGGGCUCAACCCGCGGACGGCACAUGAUACUGCGAGACUAGAGUAAGGGAGGGGGAACCGGAAUGCUCGGUGUAGCAGUGAAAUGCGUAGAUAUCGAGAGGAACACUCGUGGCGAAGGCGGGUUCCUGGACAUUAACUGACGCUGAGGCACGAAGGCCAGGGGAGCGAAAGGGAUUAGAUACCCUAGUAGUC
rnacentral:rRNA from 1 species